GUGUAUGUUAAACCAACUUAACUCUAACUGUGGGUGUCGCCAGUUCCCAGGAAAGAAAAUGAGAGAAUAGAUGCAAGCUCUUAUCACCGGAAAAUUUCACCGCAUGACAUAAAUCAUGAAAACAGGAUGUAUUUCAACAAGGAAGAACACUGAGAAAACUAUUUAGUGAGGCUGGUUGUGAUGGCUCAUGCCAGUAAUCCCAACACUUUGGGAGACCAAGGAGGGAGGAUGCCUUGAGGUCAGGAGUUCAAGACCAGCUGGGGCAACACAGCAAGACUCCGUCUCUACAAAAAAUAUUAAAAAAUAGCCAGGAGUGGGGGCGUGCGCCUGUGGUCCAGCUACUCAGGAAGCUGAGGUGGAAGGAUUUCUUGAUCCCAGGAAGCAGAGGUUGCAGUGAGCCCUGAUCACAUCACUGCACACCAGCUUGGGCAACAGAGGGAGACUCUGUCUUCAAUAAUAAUAAUAAUAAAUAAAUUUUUAAAAAUUACAGCUGAACAGUAUGGUGAAAGCCUUGAAGUCCUGAGGAGCAUCUAUCCUGAAAACCAUGAGGACAUUGUGAAGGCGGAAGCUUAUAGCCCUGGAUGACUGAUUGGAUGAGAAGUGUGAAGGAGAGGGUGCAGAGAUAACCCUGAGGUUUCUUGACUGGAUGACAAGGAAAAUGGUCAUGCUACUAAGAUAAAUAAGAAAACCAAGAGAAAGUCCAGGCAGGAGAUCAUUUGAGCCCAGGAGUUAGAGGCCAGCCUGGACAACAAAGCGAGACCCUCUACAACAAAAAAAAAAAAAAAAAAAAAAAAGCCAGGCGUGGUGGCACAUACCUGUAGUCCUAGCUACUCAGGAGGCUGAGGCAAGAGGAUCACUUGAGUCUAGGAGUUCCAGGCUGCAGUAAGCUAUGAUCUCACCACUGCACUCCAGCCUGGGUGACAGAGUGAAACCCUAUUAAAAAAAAGAAAAGAAAAGAAAAAGAAAAUCAAGAGAAAGAGGAGUUGCAUCACAAAUAUACUCACAUUCCUAUGCUGAUAUGUAAAGAAAAUGUAAUUUCUUUAUUUCUCCAUAACCAACCAAAAUUUUCAAGUGAGAUCCCAUUUUCUGGGUAACAGGAAACUGUACUUGGGCUUUAAGUUUGCCAAAGAUUGGCCAGGUGCAGUGGCUCACACCUGUAAUCCCAGCACUUUGGGAGGCUGAGGUGGGCGGAUCACCUGAGGUUGGAGACUAGCCUGGCUGACACAGCAAAACCCCAUCUCUACUAAAAAUACAAAAAUUAGCUGGGUGUGGUGGUGCGUGCCUGUAAUCCCAGCUACUUGGGAGGCUGAGGCAGGAGAAUCGCUUGAACAUGGUAGGCGGAAUUUGCAGUGAGCUGAGAUCGCGCCAUUGCACUCCAGCCUGGGUGACAAGAGCAAAACUCCACCUCAAAAAAAAAAAAAAAAGUUUGCCAAAGAUUGGUACCUCAGUCUCUGGAUGCUUUGAUUUCUUGAACAAAUGCUCAGUCUCCACCCAGACCCCACUGGUACCUCCCAGCCCUCUAGUCUUUCUCCAAGAGGCAUCUAGGUAUGCAGAGUUGGAAUUGGCUGGAUCACCAGGGCUCUUGAUGACCUCAUGGAGGUAAAGUUGAUUAUGAAGUUUGUAAUGUAUAAAUUGUAAAAUAACGAGCAGCUUAUUUAGAAGAUCAUAAAAGCAAGAAUAGCCAGGAAGCCUCUGCUAAACAUGUGUAACAGGAAUGGGAGAAACGGAAAAAUAUUACAAAGCCUCUGUGGUUAAACCAGUGUGGUGUUGGCACAUAAAUAGACACACAGACCAAGAAACAGACUAGAACAUCUAGAACAAGAUGCAAUUGCUUAUGGAAACUUAGUAUAUAAUAAAAGAGCCAACUCAAAUCAGUGGAGAAAGAAGGACAUUUUUUAAAGUGGUUUUAGGGCCAGGCAAGGUGGUCUUAUGCCUGUAAUCCCAGCACUUUGAAGAGGCUGAGGCAGGAGGAUCCUUGAGAACAGGAAUUGGAGACCAGCCUGAGUAACAUAGUGAGACUCCAUCUCUACAAAAAUAAAACAUAAAAAUUAGCCAAACCUGGCGGUGCACACCUGCAGCUCCAGCUACUCAGGAGGCUGAGGCAAGAGCCUAGAAGUUCAAGGACGUAGUGAGCUAUGACCCGCCACUGCACACCAGCUUUGGCAACAGAGUGAGACUCUGUCUCCAAAAGAUAAAAAAGAAAAAAGUGGUUUUAGGGUAUCUGGAUAGUCAUGCAGAACAAUAUAACAUGGACUCCAUUCUUCACAUGGUACACUGGGAUAAAUUCCAAAUCAGAGACUUACGUGUGCAAAAUUAAGCCCUACAACUAAUAGAAGAAAACAUGAGUGUAAUCCUUUGAAACUUUUGCACAGAGAAAACUUUCCUAAGGCUUAAAAUCCUGAAGCAAUGAGAGAAAAAGAUUGAUAAAUUUGUUGACAUUAAAACAACUGUGCAUGGCCAAAAACCCAUAAGCAACAUAUCACAUACUGGGAAAAAUAUUCUAGACAAAGGGUUAUCAUCCCUAAAUAUAUGAGUAGCUUCUAAAUUAAAGAAGAAAAAGGCCAACAAGUUGAUAGAAAAUUGGACUAGAGAAAUAGACAAGUCAUAGAAAAUGAAAUCCAAAUGGCCCUUAACCAUAUGAAAAAAUUCCCAGUCUUCCCUAUAAUAAGAAAACUGUAAAUUAAAACUCACAAAGAUACAGCCGGGCGCGGUGGCUCACGCCUGUAAUCCCAGCCCUUUG
rnacentral:lncRNA from 1 species